rnacentral:rRNA from 1 species
ACGAACGCUGGCGGCGUGCCUAACACAUGCAAGUCGAACGGAGUAUAUUUUCUAGCUUGCUAGCGGAUAUACUUAGUGGCGCACGGGUGAGUAACACGUGGGCAAUCUACCCGGAAGACUGGGAUAACAGUGCGAAAGUGCUGCUAAUACCGGAUAUUUUCACGAAGCCGCAUGACUUUGUGCAGAAAGUUUUUCGCUUCCGGAUGAGCCCGCGUCCCAUUAGCUAGUUGGUGAGGUAACGGCUCACAAAGGCGACGAUGGGUAGCUG